UAACCGGCGAUUUCCGAAUGGGGAAACCCAGUGUGAUUCGUCACACUAUCAUUAACUGAAUCCAUAGGUUAAUGAGGCGAACCGGGGGAACUGAAACAUCUAAGUACCCCGAGGAAAAGAAAUCAACCGAGAUUCCCCCAGUAGCGGCGAGCGAACGGGGAGCAGCCCAGAGCCUGAAUCAGUGUGUGUGUUAGUGGAAGCGUCUGGAAAGGCGCGCGAUACAGGGUGACAGCCCCGUACACAAAAAUGCACAUAUUGUGAGCUCGAUGAGUAGGGCGGGACACGUGGUAUCCUGUCUGAAUAUGGGGGGCCCAUCCUCCAAGGCUAAAUACUCCUGACUGACCGAUAGUGAACCAGUACCGUGAGGGAAAGGCGAAAAGAACCCCGGCGAGGGGAGUGAAAAAGAACCUGAAACCGUGUACGUACAAGCAGUGGGAGCACGCUUAGGCGUGUGACUGCGUACCUUUUGUAUAAUGGGUCAGCGACUUAUAUUCUGUAGCAAGGUUAACCGAAUAGGGGAGCCGAAGGGAAACCGAGUCUUAACUGGGCGUUAAGUUGCAGGGUAUAGACCCGAAACCCGGUGAUCUAGCCAUGGGCAGGUUGAAGGUUGGGUAACACUAACUGGAGGACCGAACCGACUAAUGUUGAAAAAUUAGCGGAUGACUUGUGGCUGGGGGUGAAAGGCCAAUCAAACCGGGAGAUAGCUGGUUCUCCCCGAAAGCUAUUUAGGUAGCGCCUCGUGAAUUCAUCUCCGGGGGUAGAGCACUGUUUCGGCAAGGGGGUCAUCCCGACUUACCAACCCGAUGCAAACUGCGAAUACCGGAGAAUGUU
rnacentral:rRNA from 1 species